rnacentral:rRNA from 1 species
GAGUUUGAUCAUGGCUCAGAUUGAACGCUGGCGGCAGGCUUAACACAUGCAAGUCGAGCGGGGGAGAUUGCUUCGGUAAUUGACCUAGCGGCGGACGGGUGAGUAAUACUUAGGAAUCUGCCUAUUAAUGGGGGACAACAUCUCGAAAGGGAUGCUAAUACCGCAUACGCCCUACGGGGAAAGCAGGGGAUCACUUGUGACCUUGCGUUAAUAGAUGAGCCUAAGUCGGAUUAGCUAGUUGGUGGGGUAAAGGCCUACCAAGGCGACGAUCUGUAGCGGGUCUGAGAGGAUGAUCCGCCACACUGGGACUGAGACACGGCCCAGACUCCUGCGGGAGGCAGCAGUGGGGAAUAUUGGACAAUGGGGGGAACCCUGAUCCAGCCAUGCCGCGUGUGUGAAGAAGGCCUUAUGGUUGUAAAGUCACUUUAAGCGAGGAGGAGGCUCCUGUAGUUAAUACCUACAGAGAGUGGACGUUACUCGCAGAAUAAGCACCGGCUAACUCUGUGCCAGCACG